GUGUGGAUGGACGAACAUGUAACUUUCGUAAAAAAUGCAAAAGAACUGGCCAAAGCAGCGAGCCGUGCUUUGGGUGCUUUAAUUACAAAAACUCAAUCCAUGGGAGGGAUGACUUUUAAAGUGUACAAUAAACUGUAUACGUCCGUUGUUGAACCAAUUUUACUUUAUGGUAGUGGUAUCUGGGGCACAAAAUCGUUCAGUGCCAUAUCAGCAGUACAAAACCGAGCAUGUAAAUUUUUCUUAUCGGUGGGAAAGCGCACAUCGAACGUAGCUUACGCGGUGAUAUGGGAUGGACUUCACCAAUAACAAAACAACGAAUAAAUUAUUGUAGACUUUUGUGCAAAUUGAUCCGUACUGACCAACAAAGAAUUUCCUACAAAACUUUUAAAUGGACGUCUAGAAGAAGAAAGGGUUGGUCAUUUGAAGUGCAUAAGAUUGUUGAUCGGAUCAGACUAAAGGAUCCGACGUAUGACUUAACAUUAUCGACUAAAUCAGUUAUGCAUAUGAUAAGUGAAAAACUAUGUGAGCUGGACAACACAGAAUGGUAUGAAGAACUUUUUGAUGACCGUCGUAAUAUAAAAAACGGAAACAAAUUGCGCACUUACAGAUGUUAUAAACAAUGUGUGAAAACAGAACCUUAUGUGCUUUUAAACAUUUCUAAACAGGAAAGGCGUGUUAUGGCUCUGUUUCGCUCCGGGGCUCUACCGCUAGCGCACGAAACUGGCAGAUACUCCAGGCCGCCUACACCCGUAGAAGAUAGACUUUGUUUGUUUUGUGAAAGUUGCAGUGUAGAGACUGAAAAACAUUUUCUGAUGGAAUGCGCACUUUAUGACGAUAUUCGGUAUAACCUUUUUCAUGAAUGUUCAAAAUUAAUUCAAAAUUUUAACAGCCUUGAUAUAGAUAAUAAAUUUAUUGAAAUUAUGAACUGUUAUGAUAUACAAUAUUUCCUAUGCAAAUUUUUAUAUAAAUUUUUCUGGCGAAGAAAAUUGUUUAACAGCUCUUUAUGAAAUUUUUACUAGCUUCAGAGUUUUAUCAUUUUAAUUUUAUCAGGAAAGUCAGAUUUCGACAAUUUUUAUAUAUAUAUAUUUAUUGAAUUUAGUGAUUUUU
rnacentral:lncRNA from 1 species